AACCUCCGCAAUGUGAGAAAUCGCGACGGGGGGAUCCCAAGUGCCAUUCUUAACGGGAUGGCUUUUCAUUAGUGUAAAGAGCUUUUGGAAUAAGAGCUGGGCAAGACCGGUGCCAGCCGCCGCGGUAACACCGGCAGCUCUAGUGGUAACAAUUUUUAUUGGGCCUAAAGCGUUCGUAGCCGGUUUGAUAAGUCUCUGGUGAAAUCCUGUAGCUUAACUGUGGGAAUUGCUGGUGAUACUGUUGAACUUGAGGUCGGGAGAGGUUAGCGGUACUCCCAGGGUAGAGGUGAAAUUCUGUAAUCCUGGGAGGACCACCUGUGGCGAAGGCGGCUAACUGGAACGAACCUGACGGUGAGGGACGAAAGCUAGGGGCGCGAACCGGAUUAGAUACCCGGGUAGUCCUAACUGUAAACGAUGCGGACUUGGUGUUGGGGUGGCUUUGAGCUGCUUCAGUGCCGAAGGAAGCUGUUAAGUCCGCCGCCUGGGAAGUACGGUCGCAAGACUGAAACUUAAAGGAAUU
rnacentral:rRNA from 1 species